CCCACUCACGCCUGCGCAGGGCACUGCGCCAAGGAGGUGCCUCCUUGACCCCCUGCGCUCCCAGAGUUGCGAGUCGGUGGGGCGGGUUGCCCGGCAUUCAAGGGGCUGGAAGCACCACACUCCCCAACCAACCGUGUGGGGGAGGAGCUACGUCUCUAUGGGCGGACCCAGAGCAGCCGAGGACGCAGACCGGGGAGCCAGAGAAGGGGAGCUCUGAGAGAGUCAACCUGUGGAGUUCCUGGCUGAGGGAGUGCGUGCUGUGUGUCGGGGUGGGGGUCUGGGAGUAGGGGGCACCCCGGGUGGGAGGUGAGGUUCUGGAAGGGCGUGUGGAGAGAGUUCCUCAUGGAGACUCAGAAGGAGAGUCUCUGGGAAUUCCUCUGGAUAGAGGCAUGCCGGUGGCUUCAGGGGGCUUGGCGUCGGGAGCCCUGGGCGGAGUUCUGGAACUGCUUGCCCGAUGCUGGGGAUACGAUAUGUUAUUGCACGCAGAGGCCUGAGA
rnacentral:lncRNA from 1 species